UAUUAGCCAUUUUGCGUAAGCGAUUGAAGAGACAUCCUUUUAUUUUUAUCUUGCCCUAAGGCAAGUAAAAGAUAAAAAUAAAAGAUAAAACGGAAAGCGCGACCCUUU
rnacentral:sRNA from 2 species